rnacentral:rRNA from 1 species
GAUGAACGCUAGCUACAGGCUUAACACAUGCAAGUCGAGGGGUAACGAGAGGAAAGCUUGCUUUCCUUGUCGACGACCGGCGCACGGGUGAGUAACGCGUAUCCAACCUGCCCCCAACUAGGGAAUAACCUUGCGAAAGUAAGACUAAUACCCUAUAAUUUCCUCCGAUGUCAUCUGACGAGGAAUAAAGAUUUAACGGUUGUGGAUGGGGAGGCGUGUGAUUAGCUUGUUGGCGGGGUAACGGCCCACCAAGGAAACGAUCAGUAGGGGUUCUGAGAGGAAGGUCCCCCACAUUGGAACUGAGACACGGUCCAAACGCCUACGGGAGGCAGCAGUGAGGAAUAUUGGUCAAUGGGCGGAAGCCUGAACCAGCCAAGUAGCGUGCAGGAUGACGGCCCUAUGGGUUGUAAACUGCUUUUAUACAGGAAUAAAGUUAGCCACGUGUGGUUAUUUGUAGGUACUGUAUGAAUAAGGACCGGCUAAUUCCGUGCCAGCCGCCGCUGUAA